rnacentral:tRNA from 1 species
GGAGAGAUGGCAGAGCGGUUGAAUGCGACGGUCUUGAAAAUCGUUGAGGAGGUAACUCCUUCCAGGGUUCGAAUCCCUGUCUCUCCG